GACGAACGCUGGCGGCGUGCUUAACACAUGCAAGUCGAACGGAAAGGUCCUGCUUAUGUGCGGUGCUCGAGUGGCGAACGGGUGAGUAACACGUGAGUUACCUGUCCCUGACUUUGGGAUAUCUUCAUGCAACUGGGGCUAAUACCGGAUAGGAGCUCCCGCUUCUUGGUGGGGGCUGGUAUGAUUCGGUGGUUGGUGAUGGACUCGCGGCUCAUCAGCUUGUUGGUGGGGUAGUGGCUUACCAAGGCUUUGACGGGUAGCCGGGCUGAGAGGGUGACAGGACACAUUGGGACUGAGAUACGACACAGACUACUACGGGACGCAGGAGUGGAGAGUAUAGCACUAUGGGCGGAAGCCUGAUGCAGCAACGCCGCGUGGGGUAUGAGGGCCUUCGGGUUGUAAUGCACUUUCGCCUGUGACGAAGCGUGAGUGACGGUAAUGGGUAAAGAAGCACCGGCUAACUACGUG
rnacentral:rRNA from 1 species